UAGGCGUAGUCGAUGGACAACGGGUUGAUAUUCCCGUACCCGCUUCAAUGCGCCCAUAUCGAACCUCGUGAUGCUAAGAGUCCUUAAGUCCUCUGAUGUCCUCCGGGACUGGGGGUGAGGCUGAACGCUCGAUCCGAUCGGGUAGUAGGUAAGCGAUGGGGUGACGCAGGAAGGUAGUCCAGCCCAGGCGAUGGUUGUCCUGGGGUAAGCAUGUAGGGCGUGUCGUAGGUAAAUCCGCGGCAUUUAAGCCUGAGAUGUGAUGCCGAGCCGAUUGUGGUGAAGUGGAUGAUCCUAUGCUGCCGAGAAAAGCCUCUAGUGAGUGUUGUGGCGGCCCGUACCCUAAACCGACUCAGGUGGUCAGGUAGAGAAUACCAAGGCGAUCGGGUGAACUGUGGUUAAGGAACUCGGCAAAUUGCCCCCGUAACUUCGGGAGAAGGGGGACCUCUGUUGGUGAUGGGCUUUACGCCUGGAGCUGGUGGGGGUCGCAGUGGCCAGGGGGAAGCGACUGUUUACUAAAAACACAGGUCCGUGCGAAGUCGUAAGACGAUGUAUACGGACUGACGCCUGCCCGGUGCCGGAACGUUAAGGGGACCGCUUAGCUGACGUGAGUUGGCGAAGGUGAGAACUUAAGCGCCGGUAAACGGCGGUGGUAACUAUAACCAUCCUAAGGUAGCGAAAUUCCUUGUCGGGUAAGUUCCGACCUGCACGAAUGGCGUAACGACUUCCCCGCUGUCUCAACCGCAGACCCGGCGAAAUUGCACUACGAGUAAAGAUGCUCGUUUCGCGCAGCAGGACGGAAAGACCCCGGGACCUUCACUACAGCUUGACAUUGGCGUUUGGAACGUCUUGUGUAGGAUAGGUGGGAGACUGGGAAGCUGUCACGCUAGUGAUGGUGGAGUCAUUGGUGAAAUACCACUCUGGUCGUUUUGAACGUCUAACUCUGGUCCGUGAUCCGGAUCGGGGACAGUGUCUGGUGGGUAGUUUAACUGGGGCGGUUGCCUCCUAAAGAGUAACGGAGGCGCCCAAAGGUUCCCUCAGCCUGGUUGGCAAUCAGGUGUUGAGUGUAAGUGCACAAGGGAGCUUGACUGUGAGACUGACAGGUCGAGCAGGAGCGAAAGCUGGGACUAGUGAUCCGGCAUCGGCGUGUAGUAGCGGUGUCGCUCAACGGCUAAAAGGUACCCCGGGGAUAACAGGCUGAUCUUCCCCAAGAGUCCAUAUCGACGGGAUGGUUUGGCACCUCGAUGUCGGCUCGUCGCAUCCUGGGGCUGGAGUGGUCCCAAGGGUUGGGCUGUUCGCCCAUUAAAGCGGUACGCGAGCUGGGUUUAGAACGUCGCGAGACAGUUCGGUCCCUAUCCGCUGCGCGCGCAGGAGACUUGAAGGGGGCUGUCCCUAGUACGAGAGGACCGGGACGGACGAACCUCUGGUGUGCCAGUUGUACCGCCAGGUGCACGGCUGGUUGGCUACGUUCGGAAGGGAUAACCGCUGAAAGCAUCUAAGCGGGAAGCUCGCCUUGAGAUGAGGUCUCCCACCACGAGAGUGGGUAAGGCUCCCGGUAGACGACCGGGUUGAUAGGCCGGAGGUGGAAGCACGGUAACGUGUGGAGCUGACCGGUACUAAUAGGCCGAGGACUUGACCAC
rnacentral:rRNA from 1 species